UACGUAGGGUGCAAGCGUUGUCCGGAAUUAUUGGGCGUAAAGAGCUCGUAGGCGGUCUGUCGCGUCUGCUGUGAAAACUCGGGGCUUAACCCCGGGGCCUGCAGUGGGUACGGGCAGACUAGAGUGCGGUAGGGGAGACUGGAAUUCCUGGUGUAGCGGUGAAAUGCGCAGAUAUCAGGAGGAACACCGGUGGCGAAGGCGGGUCUCUGGGCCGUAACUGACGCUGAGGAGCGAAAGCGUGGGGAGCGAACAGG
rnacentral:rRNA from 1 species